ensembl:miRNA mir128-1 microRNA mir-128-1
GAGAGCCUGGGUACGGGGCCGGGACGCUGUUUGAGAGUCCUCUAUGAAUCUCACAGUGAACCGGUCUCUUUUCCAGCCCCUCACU